rnacentral:sRNA from 1 species
AUACAUUGAUGGAAAUGUAUGGAAAGCAUACAGUUGGACCGAGAAACUAAUUCUCAGUGAAAAUUAUUUGACUGAAUUACCUAAGGAUUCAUUUGAAGGCCUGCUAUACCUCCAGUAUUUAGAUUUAUCCUGCAAUAAAAUACGAUAUAUUGAAAGACAAACAUUUGAAUCACUACCAUUUUUGCAGUAUAUAAAUCUGGGCUGCAAUUUAAUUACAAAACUGAGCCUUGGAACAUUUCAGGCCUGGCACGGAAUGCAGUUUUUACACAACUUAAUUCUCAAUCGCAAUCCUCUGACUACUGUCGAAGAUCCAUAUCUCUUUGAACUGCCGGCAUUAAAAUAUCUAGACAUGGGAACAACACACAUCACACUUACAACACUUAAGAACAUUCUCACGAUAACUGUUGAACUGGAAAAACUACGGAGUCUCACUGUCACUCAGGCUGCAGUGCAGAGGCAUGACCUCAGCUCACUACAACCUCCGCCUCCCAGGUUCAAGUGGUUCUCCUGCCUCAGCCUCCCAAGUAGCUGGGAUUACAGGUGUGUGCCACCAUGACCAGAAAAUUUUCAUAUUUUUAGUAGAGAUGAAGUUUCACCAUGCUGGCCAGACUGGUUUCGAACUCCUGACCUCAAGUGAUCUGCCUGCUUCGGCCUCCCAAAGUGCUAGGUGUGA